CUCUCCAUAAGUUCUAAAGUAGCCAGUGGCCAAAUAAAAGUAAACGGUGAAAGUUUAAUGCGUUUUAACGUGAGCCGCGCAGCGGCGAGGCGGGGGAGAGUGCGGGAGGGGUUUCCCCUCCCGCUGGGGGGGUACGGGGGGCCUCCCCCGGAAAAUUUUGCUUUUAAAGAUGCUAAAUCCUGCAUUUUGGUGCAUUCUGGUACAUUUUUUAGGUACUGUCUGACCUGGUUUUUUUUAUUGGGAAGGUUUGCUCAGACACUGAAAUUGAACAGAAAAAUCAAAUAAAUUUUAACUCAGUUUAAUGAACAUUUUAUAGUUAACAACUUAAAACAAUCAUCAGAGCCUGAUUCGAGGCCGGAACCUGAGUCAUCCAUGGCUAAUGCAUGAAGGGCAUUUUGAUAGUCAUCUGCUUCAGAUACAGCUUUCUGUGUCUCAACCUCAACAUUGCAUUCAACGUCUUGAGAGGGUUGUGGUAGUGGUUGUCUGUUAAAAGAAUUAGAAUACAUGUAAUAUAAGUUUCCAUACAGCAGCAUAUUGACUUUAUAUAAAAAUAUCAAAUAUACAUAAUACAGGAAUUGAAUUUUAGUAAAGUUGAAAUAAGACCAGGCUGCUUAGAUUUAAAAUAUUAUUUGUCUUACUAUGCAUAAUAUUUUCUAAUAUUAUAAUUCUUUUAGUGAUCUGUUAUGACUUUGGAUCUUUUACAUGGCUGUGAUAUUUUAAUAAGAUUAAUUCUAUACAUUAUCUAUAGGGUCUAUACCGGUAUCUUUUAUGUUAAUUCUAGUAUAUUUAAUGUAUUAAAAGGAUUGUACAAAUAUUUUAAAAAUGAUCUAAUACUUUUGCAAAAAUAACAAUUCUACAAUAUUAUGAAAAAAGGAUGGCAAUAAGUUUUGAAAGAAAUAUUUCAUAUUUUAAUUUUUAUAUUAAAGCCUAUAGCUGUACAUAGAGAUCUACCUGUGUUUUCCUUACUAUACUGUAGUCAUGCAUAGAUUUUAAACAAGCUACCAACUGGCAUAAAGAUAUUUUUAUUCGUGAAAUAAAUAUCAAAUCAUGUUCAAAUCAAUUAAAAUUAUAUAGAAAAACAUUGUAACAAUUUAAAUUUCGCUCUAACAAUUUAAAUUUCGCUCGUACCGAACAUUCAAUGACGUAGCCUCGUAGGUCAAACUGACAUUAAAAUAUAUUACAAUUACGCUUUUACUUUGUCAACAAAUGAUUUAAAC